rnacentral:rRNA from 1 species
CGUAGGGUGCGAGCGUUAAUCGGAAUUACUGGGCGUAAAGCGUGCGCAGGCGGUUUUGUAAGACAGAUGUGAAAUCCCCGGGCUCAACCUGGGACCUGCAUUUGUGACUGCAAGGCUAGAGUACGGUAGAGGGGGAUGGAAUUCCGCGUGUAGCAGUGAAAUGCGUAGACAUGCGGAGGAACACCGAUGGCGAAGGCAAUCCCCUGGACCUGUACUGACGCUCAUGCACGAAAGCGUGGGGAGCAAACAGGAUUAGAUACCCUGGUAGUCCACGCCCUAAACGAUGUCAACUGGUUGUUGGGUCUUUACUGACUCAGUAACGAAGCUAACGCGUGAAGUUGACCGCCUGGGGAGUACGGCCGCAAGGUUG